GGCGAACGGGUGAGUAACACGUGGGUAAUCUGCCCUGCACUCUGGGAUAAGCCUGGGAAACUGGGUCUAAUACUGGAUAUGACCUUUCUCCUUAUGGGGUUUGGUGGAAAGUUUUCGGUGUAGGAUGAGCCCGCGGCCUAUCAGCUUGUUGGUGGGGUGAUGGCCUACCAAGGCGGCGACGGGUAGCCGGCCUGAGAGGGUGGACGGCCACAUUGGGACUGAGAUACGGCCCAG
rnacentral:rRNA from 1 species